GAUGAACGCUGGCGGCGUGCCUAAUACAUGCAAGUCGAGCGAACGGACGAGAAGCUUGCUUCUCUGAUGUUAGCGGCGGACGGGUGAGUAACACGUGGAUAACCUACCUAUAAGACUGGGAUAACUUCGGGAAACCGGAGCUAAUACCGGAUGAUAUUUUGAACAGCAUGGUUCGAAAGUGAAAGACGGUCUUGCUGUCACUUAUAGAUGGAUCCGCGCUGCAUUGACUAGUUGGUAAGGUAACGGCUUACCAAGGCAACGAUGCAUAGCCGCCCUGAGGGGGUCAACGGCCACACUGGAACAGAGACACGGCCCAGACUCCUGCGGGAGGCAGCGGUAGGGAAUCUUCCGCAAUGGGCGAAAGCCUGACGGAGCAACGCCGCGUGAGUGAUGAAGGUCUUCGGAUCGUAAAACUCUGUUAUUAGGGAAGAACAUAUGUGUAAGUAACUGUGCACAUCUUGACGGUACCUAAUCAGAAAGCCACGGCUAACUACGUG
rnacentral:rRNA from 1 species